rnacentral:lncRNA from 1 species
UCAGGAACAACUAUAUUUUGCCUCUAAUAAACACCAUAGAAGUACUAAUUUUCUUCCACUAAAAAAUAAAAACCAGUGGAUAUCAUAUUUAAGAAAAGAAAACCCACUAAAAUUAAAAAUCAGGGGAUAUCAUAUUUAGAAAAAAAACAAAGACAUACAUUUAUACCCACUACGCUUCAUCCAUUGAGUAUCCCUAUGA